UACGUGUCUCGCGUGUGACGUUAUCCUUUCUUCGUCUGUUGCCGUUGCGUGGAAGCUACCUUCCCUCAUCUCCCCUCCCUUCCCCUCCCCUCUUCCGCGAGAAAGGAAAGGAUACGCACGCCGACACGAGGCGAAAGGGCAAGAAAAACGGCAUUCAAGUAUAGUCGAACCAACGAACAACAACACAGAAACCCGAAGAAACGAGACAAUACUCUCUCACACACACACACAAACAUCCAUACGUAUAUAGUGGCGGCCAACGCACAUAGAACAUCACACACGAUCGCACACCCGCGCGCGCGCGCUCUCUAUCUGUGUGUCCGUGCGUGCGUGUGUGUGUUUGUGUGUGUGUGUGUGUGUGUGUGUGUGUCAUUGCUCUCCUGUGUUUGUUUGUUCUCGCAGCUGAACAAAUCUUUUCCUCCUUCCCCCCUCUCCCUCACGCACACACACUCACACUCACACACGUUUUCUCGCGCUCUGCCCCGAGUGUCUCCUGCAAGAGCCCGCGUCGAUUUGUUUCUUUUGGGGUUUCUUGCCUGUGUGUUUUUGUUUUUUUUUGGGGGGGAGGUGUCUCUCGUUGCUGCCGUGCACAGAUCGACUCAUCUUUUCCCCACAAAGGGAACGAAGACAGAACAAAAAAAGGGAGGCAGAGGCGGAGGCGGACUGAAGCACCGUGAGCUGUGUUGUGUCGCCCUUCUUGUCGCGCUUCGCCCAUCCCAACACUGCUAGGCCACACCGCACCUUCUCCCUUCAAGGCCCUCUCGCUGAUUUGUGUUACCUUAACAACAGGCGCGUCUUUCUCUUGUUUUCAUUUCCCUCUCACGCUCUCCUUCUCCCCACCCCAUCACACCCUGUCUUCAUAUUUUAGUUGUCGCCAUUCGGCUGUUUUGGGCUGUUUCGUGUCGUGUCGCUCGUUCUCGUCGUCCUCGUCUUGUGUUGUGCGUUCGUGUGUGUGUGUGUGUGUGUGUGUGUGUGUGUCAGUGCGAUCAGCUCUUUGUGUUCUCUUCUUGCCGUCCUUUCGCGCUCACGCCUUUUAUUUCUUUAUUUUUUAUUAUCAUCAUCUUGCCCCCCCCCCACACACACACACCAUCUGCAAAUCGUCCCUUGUUCGGCUCCUCCCGCAGUGGCUCGCUGUCGCCGUUGCUGCUGCUGUUGCUGCUUGUGCUCUCAGAGCUCAGCUCACAAUCCCUUCCCUCUCCUUCUCUCUGAUCGCCUCUGCAACCGACAUCACAGCCCUUUUUAUUCCCCCACCGACCCACCCACCCAUCCCUCCUUCGUCGUCAUCGUUUUGUUUAUAGCCAGUACGACUCGUUUUCCCUCUGUUGGUCUCUGUGAUUCUCGUUGUUGUGGAGUGCCCGCGCUCGCGUCGGUGUGCCUGUAUGGGUGUGACGUCUCUCAUCAGAUUUCGUUUCUUUUUUUAUGUUGUUGCUUUCUGUGUGGUGGCUGUGGCUGUUGUCUCCCUUUUCUGUCUAUCACACACACACUAAUAUCUAUCUGUGAUCACCCCCCCCUCCUCCUCCUCACCCGCUCCCCUUUAAAGUUGCCCAUUGCACCUUUUGUUUGGUUGCGGUGUGCUUCUCCGGUUUUCGUUUUUGUGCUCUGCCGCAUCUCUUCACGCAUCUUUUUAGACGCACAACACACGCACACGCACGCGCACCUCUCUUCGCCGGCUUCCUUCGUUUUCGCUCCCUCGGCAUCUCUUUGGUUUGUUUUGUUGUCUCUUGUACUGCUGUCGUCCCCGCCUCCCCUUGUGUUUUUUUUCCUUUUCUUUCUCUCUCGCGUGUGUGUGUGUGUGUGUUGAUUUUCUAUCCCACACCCCUUCCUCUGCGUGCCUCCCCCUCUACCGAUCUUCGCUCGCACUGGCGGCGCUCACGCGUACAUUCACGCACUCUGUCUCUGUCUCUCCUCUGCCCUUCCUACCCGUCAGCCGCAUUGGUCGUCACCCCAUUGUCAUCGGCUCCGUCGUUGAGCCAACAGG
rnacentral:misc_RNA from 1 species